AUUCGGGUCAGACCUUAGCAGCCCACGCCCAGAAAAAUAAAUGAGAAUGGAGCACGCAUAUGCACACACACACACACACACACACACCUGCCCUGUGCAAUCCAAAAUAAAGCGUUAUUUUAGGAACUGACACAACUUCCAGGCUUCCUAAAAUUAAACUGCUUCCUCCUGGAUUUUGUGAUUGCAAAACAUGUCCACCAGCCUGGGCCCUCCGUCCGCUCCCUCGGCGCUUUGCGCACCUGCCCAGUGAGGACGACUUUGGCCCUUCUUGACCCCGCCACGUCUCUCCUGUCCCCAGCAGCCACUUCUCUCAGCCUUGCGGAAACCUCGCUCCCACGGGCCCCGCCUUAGACUCCCAGCCACACAGCAACGGGGCAGGCACAGGCCCUGCCGGAGGCGCGUUCCAAUGUGGACAGGACACAGAGGGCACGUCAAUAGGACAGACCAGCGCCAAACAGGCGUGUGAAACCAAUCAAUGAGUGAGUGAAUGCUAAACACUCGCUAACACAGCACGUGAGGCCUGGGGGAGGGCUUUGAGUUUCUUUUGUGCCUUCCCACACGGAAGGCUUCAAGGAGGCGGUGAGGUCUUAGGGACGUCUCUGUUCUUGCCACAUCUCUGGCUGGAAAGGAAGGGCAGGGAUCAUGUCCCAGUUUGGGCAGAGCUGGAGUCGGAAGCCCAGAGAGGGAAAGUGACUCCUUCAAGGUCACACAGCACAUCCGUGACAGAGCUGGAGCUAAAAACAGAUCUGUCGGGUGCUGGUCAGGUGCUCCGGUCACCGGAUUCCCCCUCGUCCCCUGCAGCCUGCGCAGCGCCGGGCGGGGUUCUGUCCUCAGCUGCCCCUCAGUGACAUGCAUGCCUGGAGGUGAGCACAUGGGACAGAAAGCCAGGAGAAGCAGCCCCUGUGCCCUCCACCUGUAUUCCCCCCAGCUGCCUGGUGGCCAGAGGCGGUUGCCAGCCGUGCCCUGAAUCCUGACACCGGGGUCAGGAGCCUUGCAAUCUGUGGCUUCCCUGGGACUCACCUCCAGGGGUUGAACGUGCUGGUUGCUGAGGCCUCCGUCCAGGAGGUGAGCAGAGGCUGCCCGAGACAUGCCCGGCCUUUUCCUGGACAGCCACAUUUUAAGCCCCACACACACUAACUCUGGGGGGUGCUCGCCCCAUCUUACAGACAGGGAGGCUGAGGCCCAGAGACGUGAAGUCACUGACCCAAGAUCACACAGCUGGUAAAUGGCAGAGCUGGGCUUCAAACCCAGGCAGUCCGGUUCCAGAAGCCGUGCUCUUAAUCGCCAGCUCUCAAAGAGGCAAACGCUGAAGCCCUGGCUGUGCACAGGAGGAUCUCGCAUACCUUAUCUCAUUUAGGUACUCUGUUUUAUGUUUGUUUAUUUUUAUCUACUUGAAAGGGAGAGAGAGAGAGAGAGAGAGAGAGAGAGAGAGAGAGAGAGAUCCAUCUUGCAUCUGCUGAAUCACCCCACCCCCACCCCCCCAGCAAUGCCUGCAACAGCCAGGGCUGGGCCAGGCCAAAGCCAGGAGCCAGGAACUCCAUCCAGGCCUCCCACGUGGGUGGCAGGGGCCCAAGUACUUGAGCCAUUGCCUGCUGCCUCCCAGGGUGCACGUUAGCAGGAAGCUGGGUUGGAAACGGAGCAGCAAGGACAUGACCUGGUGCUGUGCUAUGGGAUGGGGCAUCCCACUGUGCCAAGACACCCGUUCCUCAUUUAGGUACUCUUAUUCCCAUAGUACAGGUGGUAAAACGAAGGCCCAGUGGGUCAUCUGGGGAGAACGCUCUCAAAGUAUAACAGGAGGCCAUUUGAGGUUGUCCUUGGGGUGUCUGCCCCCACGGCAUGGACACCAUCGCCACCUGGUGGCAGUGUACCUUAAGUGCAAGCAGGGUGCCUAAGCAGAGGCUUUGUGUGUUAAGUUCAACAUAUGCUAUUCUUUUUUUUAUUUUUAUUUAUUUUUUUUACAGGCCAAGUGGACAAUGAGAGAGAGAGAGAGAAAGAUCUUCCUUUGCCGUUGGUUCACCCUCCAAUGGCCGCCGCGGCCGGCGUGCUGUGGUCGGCGCACCGCGCUGAUCCGAAGGCAAGAGCCAGGUGCUUCUCCUCCUCUCCCAUGGGGUGCAGGGCCCAAGCACUUGGGCCAUCCUCCACUGCACUCCCUGGCCACAGCACAGAGCUGGCCUGGAAGAGGGGCAACCAGGACAGAAUCCGGCGCCCCAACCGGGUCUAGAACCCGGUGUGUCGGCGCCGCAAGGCGGAGGAUUAGCCUGUUGAGCUGUGGCGCCGGCCUCUCUCUGCCUUUCAAAUAGAGAUGAUAGAUAGACAGAUAGAUAGAUAGACAGACAGACAGACAGACAGGCAGAUAGAUAAUAACUUUGAAGAAAACGAGCACCAAGGAGAGACAAGGAGGUAGGACUUCGGGGACCUGGGCACACAGCUCCUGAUGGUGGAUUUUGCUGAAGGCUGCACCAAGGGGGCCUGGUGGGGCCUCUGCCUUCUCUGCCCAUCUGAACACCAACGAGCAGCAGAAACUCAGCAAAGCACUGGGCCCCCGUGGAAGCUGCCUGCCCAGGAAUCCUCCCUCUGUUACACGAACCACCCUGCACUAAGCCAUCGCACACAACCGUGCCGGUUCUCGCUGCUGACCCUGCUCAGCUGGAGGUGCUACUGACUUAGGAGCCACCUGUGUUGCCUCUGAUUGCGGCUGGACCAGAGUCUCUCAGAGGCCUGCUGGGUGGAAGUCUCGCGGGGCUGUCUGUCUGUCUCUCACCUGCCAGUGGCCAGGGGUCUGAUUCCAGGAGCGCCCUCCAGAGGCAGGGGGCAGAAGCCGCAGGCUGCGGAACCACGCACCUUCACGUCUGCCCGCCACUUCCUGUUGGUCAAAGCAGCCACAGCGCAACCGGGUGGACGCGGCAGCCUGGCCGAGCUCUGGCUGUUGCAUCUGGGGAGUGAACCAGUAGCUGGAAGUUUCUUCUCUCUCUGUCACUCUACGUUUCAAAUACAAUGAAAAUUAGUAAGCAAGUUUUUUCAAAAAAAGAAGAACCAAAUGUAUGCAGAAGACCUUGGAAAACAAAAAGUCAAAACACUACAGAUUGUCCUCCUCCCCAAGUACGAGUUUUGAGAAGAACAUUCCAGGGGCCGGGGCUGUGGUGUACUGGGUAAAGCUGCUGCCUGCAGUGCUGGCAUCCCAUAUGGACACCGGUUCAAGUCCUGGCUGCUCCACUUCUGUUCCAGCUCCCUGUUAAUGUGCCUGGGAAGGCAGCAGAAGAUAGCCCAAGUCCUUGGGCCCCUAUAGCCUUGUGGGAGACCUGGAGAAAGCUCCAGGCUCUUGGCUCCUGCCAUUGUGGUCAUUUAGGGAGUGAACCAGGAGAUGGAAGGACCCCCCCUCCCCCACCUCAGCCUCUCUCUAACUCUGCCUUUCAAAUAAAUAAAUAAAUCUUAAAAAAAAAAUAAAGUUAAGAGUUCAAUGUGAAUUCCGGACAAGCAUGGGAGACCAGGAUAAGUACUGGCUCCUGCCAUCGGAUCAGCGCGGUGCGCCAGCCGCGCAGCCAUUGGAAGGUGAACCAACGGCAAAGGAAGACCUUUCUCUCUGUCUUUCUCUCUCACUGUCCACUCUGCCUGUCAAAAAAUAAAAAAAUUUAAAAAAAAUUUAUUAAAAAUAAAGGCAGAGACAGAGAUCAUCCAUCUGCUGUUUGUCUCCCGAGAUGUCUACAACAGUCAGGACUGGGCCAGACCGAAGCCAGGAGCCUGGAACCCCAUCCAGGUCUCCCGCAUGGACAGCAGUGACCCAGGUACCUGAGCCAUCACCUGCUGCUGCCCUGGGUUCACCUUGGCAGGAAGCUGGGUUCAGGAGCAGAGUGGGGGCUGGACCCCAGCACUGCAACACGAAACGUAGUGUCUUACCCACUGUGCCAAAUGCCUGGACACAGCACACUUUUUGAAAUUAAUUGUCUAUCUAUUUGAAAGACAGAGACAGAGAUCUUCCAUCUGCCCGUUCAUCUCCUAAAUGGCCACAACGGCUGGGGCUGGGACAGGUCUGAGCCAGGAGCCAGGAAUUCAAUCAAGGUCUCCCAUAUGGGUGGCAGAGGCUCAGCCGCUGAGCCGUCCUCUGCUGCCUCCCAGGGUGCGCAUUAGCAGGGAGCUGGAAUCGGAAGUGGAGCCAGGACUCCAACUCAGGCACUGUAGUAUGGGAGGCGGGCGUCCCCAGAGGUGUCAGGGUGUCUUUCUUUCUCUUUCUUUCCUUCCUUCUUCCUUCUUUCCUUCCUUCCUUCUUUCCUUCCUUCCUUCCUUCCUUCCUUCCUUUCUUCUUUUUCUUUUUUUUAGAUUUAUUUGUCUUAGUUUGAAGAGACAUAUAGAGAGAGAAAGAGUGAUCUUCCAUCUGCUGGUUCACUCCCCAGAUGGCCACAAUGGCCAGGACUGGGCCAAGCUGAAGCCAGGACACAGGAGCUUCUUCCAGGUCCCCCACAGGGGUUCAGGGGCCCAAACACUUGGACCAUCUUUUGUUGCUUUUCCCAGGCCAUUAGCAGAGAGCUGGAUUGGAAGUGGAGCAGCCAGGACACGAACCUGCACCCGUAUGGGACGCCGGCGUUGCAAGCAGCAGCUUUACCUGCUACACCACGUCAUCUGCACCAGAGGUCUGUUAAUUACUGCAUCAAAAGCCUGCCCUUGGCCUCUCCGUCUGCCCUGGUCUGGGUGGCACCAUCAGCGCACUUCCCAGUGGUGUUGGCCACGUACUCUGCCAUGCUAAGCCGUGCAUCACCCCCUGCUGACGUCAGUUAAACACUGACACUCAGGCUGCCUGACUCCCUGCAAUGCGGGGAGCUCCAGGGAGCUAGGCUCGCCCUCCGCGUGCAGGGGGCGGGCUCGGCCCACGUUUGGGGACUGUACCAUUCUCAGUCCUGGGUCCUUCUUCUCUCUCUCUCUUACUCACACAGCUCAGGAUUUUGCUCAUGGACUAAGAGACAAAUUCAGACCAUUGGCAUUCUACCCACGCCACACUUGAGUCCUUCAUCCGCUGGGAGUGUGAGGACCCACUGUGGUCCCGGCACCAUCCUGGGUGCUGGGAAUAUGGCUGUGAACAAGACGGGUGAAAUCUCUGCGCUCCUGCGGCCCAUGAGCCCGGGAAGGAAGACAGAUGGGAGCAGAUAAAUACGACUGCUGGGCGGCGACGUGCUGUGAGGACUAGUGGGGGACUGGGCAGGUGGAGACAAAUAGAAGACAUUCCUUCUGCUGGGGAGGCAGUGAAUGUUCCCAAGAGACCAUCCACACAAAAAUGGGCCAGAGAAUCAAAAUGUCCAGAAAAAACCAUAUCUCAAUGACUGAUUGCAUAAUGGCCACAAAGAAAACCCACAAUUACAUAGCUUUAACCAGUGAAAUUUUGUAUGUAUUCUCCCCCUAAAAAAAACUCAGUAAGCCAUGCAGCCCCCCUAAAAAAGAGUCAGUAAGUCAUGUGGGAUUUUUUUAAAGUAUUAGGAAAUAAUCCAUCCUAAUGAUUAUUAUCUCAGCAAAGUAAAAAACAAAAUAGGGGCCAGUGUGGUGGACAAGUGGGGUAAGCCCCACCUGUGGCAUCCCAUAUGGGUGCCGGUUCAAGUCCCAGCUACUCCAGUUCCAAUCUAGCUCCCUGCUAUGCCCUGGGGAAGCAGCAGAAGAUGGCCCCUGCCACCUGUGUGGGAAGCCUGGAAGAAGCUCCUGGCUCCUAGCUUCAGAUCAGCUCAGCUCUGGUCAUUGUGACCAUUUGGGGAGUGAAACAGUGGAUGGAAAACCUCUCUCUCUCUCUCUCUCUCUCUCACUUUCUCUGUAACUCUGUCUUUCGAAUAAAUAAACACAUCUCUAAAAAAAAAAAGAAAGAAAUUAAAACACGUGCUGCAUGAUAGAAAGCAACCCAAGGCUGAGCCAGCCAGGGAGGGUGACUCUGAGGGCACGGAGACUCUGUGAUGCUGAUGAGGGCCCCGGCCAAGAACUGGGUUCCCAAGGCCAUUGUGUGGGGUGCAGAGAAAACCCACCACUCAGCCUUGGUGUUUUAAUGUGGGUGGCGUCAGGCUCACCCUGAAACCUGAAAAAAGAAAAUUAGUCAAGGGAUCAUCUCGUCAAUACUUCCCAUUCCACAGAGUCUUUUCUCAAUGGAAACUGAUACAGGAAGCACAAACAGCUGACAUCUUCCGAUAAAGAUGGAGUCGGUUGGCAAAUCCGUAGCAGCAGAAGUGGUUGCCAGGGGCUGGGGGAGGGGAGGGGGUCACUGCUAAACAGGAUGGAACGUCUGUUGGGGGUGAUGGGAAUGUUCUGGAACUAGAUGGUGAUGAUGGUAGCACGACAUUCUGAAUGCCCCCGAUACCACUGAAUUGUCCACUUUAAAAUGGUGAAUUUUGGGGCCAGUGCUGUGGGACAGUGAGUUAACACCCUGGCCUACAGCACCAGCAUCCCCUAUGGGCAUCCAUUCGAGUCCCAGCUGCUCGAGAGACAGAGAGAGAGGUCUUCCUGGUUCACUCCCCAAAAGGCCGCAACAGCUGGAGCUGAGCCGAUCUGAAACCAGGAGCCAGGAGCUUCCUCUGGGUCUCCCACAUGGGUGCAGGGGCCCAAGGACUUGGGCCAUCUUCCACUGCUUUCCCAGGGCAUAGCAGAGAGCUGGAUCAGAAGUGGAGCAGCAAGGACUUGAACUGGUGCCCAUAUGGGAUGGCGGUGCCACAGGCAGCAGCUUAACCUGCUAUGCCACAGCGCCAACACCACCACCCCUUAGUAUCCUAUGGCAUAAAAAAAAUCCAAUUUAUCUAUUUAAAAAUAAUCCACUUUAUUCUUUUCUUUACUUGUCUGUGCUUUUGGCAUCAUAUCCAAGAUCCAUCAUAUCCAGAUCCAGUGUCGUGAAGGCCCCCUGUGUUUCUUUCUGAGGGUCUUACAACUUAUCUCUUGCAUUUCAGUCCUUGAGCUGCUGAGUUAAUUUGCACAUGUUGUGUGGGUAAGUGUUCAGCUUCAGUCUUUGGCGUGGGGCUAUUCAGUUUUCCCAGCCCUGUCUUCAGCAGAGAUCGCCCUUCUCUCCUUGUGAGUCUUGGCAUCCUUGUCACAAGUCCUUUGGUCCCACAUGGGAGGGCUUCCUUCCUGGCUCUCUAAUCUGGUCCCCUGGUCUGCAAGUCUGUCCUUGUGCCAGUACCACCCCGUCUCGGUUGUUACUUUGUAGUACGUUUUGAUUUUGUUUUUAUUUAUUAUUUAAAAGAUUUAUUUAUUUGAAAGUCAGAGUUACACAGAGAGAGAAGAGGCAGAGAGAGAGAGAGAGGAGAGAGAGAGAGGGAGAGAGGUCUUCCAUCCUCUGGUUCACUCCCCAAAUGGCCACAAUGGCCAGAGCUGAGCCAAUCCGAAGCCAGGAGCCAGGAGCUUCUUCCGGAUUUCCCACGCAGGUGCAGGGGCCCAAAGACUUGGGCCAUCUUCUGCUGCUUUCCUAGGCCACAGCAGAGAGCUGGAUCAGAAGUGGAGUAGCCAGGACUCAAACUGGCGCCCGUGUGGGAUGCUAGCACUGCAGGCGGCAGCCUUACCAGCUUUGCCACAGUUCCAGCCCCUACGUAUUUAUUUUCCAUCUGUACUUUGUGCUCCUUCUGUAGCACUAAGUUAGAAACCAGGAAGUGUGUGUUUCCAGCUUUGUUCUUCUUUUCCAAUACAGUUUUCUCCCUUUGGGGUGCCCUGAGAUCCCGUGUAGACGGCGUGGUGCGACUCUGGGUAAGGCACGGGGCCAGGACUUUGAAAGGCGCUGCACCAGCUCCGCCGGCUGUAUUGGGCAGCCCCUCUCUGAGGCCAGGAAAAUUCCAGCUGCAUGCUGGCCACAUCAGAGUGAGCCACGCAGUGUGGAUGUGGUGGCUUCUCCACGGACAGCGGCAAUCACCAUGCCGCCUCCUCGAGGGCACGCCUUCGUCCUGGGGAGCCGGCGCUCUUCGGUGGCAGGGGAGCUGGGCACACCGGGCGGAAAGCGGCUCUCAGUCUUGCCUUGGUCCUCUGCCGUGGGCUCAUGUGCCACACAGCUCCCUCCACAGCGGCCCUAAUGGCAGGUGGGCUGCAGAAGCGCCAAGUCCCACCUGCCCCCGGCAGACUCUAUCCCUGCUACUCCCCGCCCCUCCCCCACAACGGAGAGGCCGAGGCGGAGCUCUUCUGAGCACACCCUGAACUCAAAGGAGGAAGAAAAGCGACAGCCUGGACUGCGGACCUGUUCCACGCAGAGCCCCCGGCCCCUCCUCCGAAGCUGCACCCCUCCUUGUUCAGAUUCCAGCACCUGCCUCCAGCCGAGACCCUCGGCCCCUCCUGCCCAGCCUGGCUGGCACGGGAUGGCAGAGAGGGCUGCAGAGCUGUGGACCGUGAAGGUGAGCUCCUGGGGCAACACAGACCCCGCCUCCCAUCUGCCGUCAGGGAGCCGUGGGCAGGGUCGCAGGUGUGUCAGCCCUGCUUGCUGUUAGUGGAGCCGUUGCUGUGUGAGUCCUUGUGAGGGGACAGGACAGGAAGCUGUGGCUCGUGACUCUAGAGCUGAGCGGUUCGCAGACUGUGUCUGGAUGCUGUGUACGGAACCGCGUAUUCACAAUAAGAGUACCAGCAGUGGGCUUGCCAGAGCCGCAGCUCCCAGACCCAGGCCACUCACUCGUCUGGCUCCCUCCCUCCCACAGCAUGCUUGGGGGCUUCCUGGCACAGCCCAGCCCCCCUCCACCAGAGAGCACAGCGAGGAGCACAGGCCUUGGUGCCCUGCAGCAGGCCCCACACCACACAUCCUGAAGGCCAUUUUCAUCUUCCAGUCCCUGCCACCGUCCCUAGUCUACAGGCGAGGCCCUAGCAUGCCUUGCCCAGAUUUCACUGUUCCUAACAACCUGUGGCCAGAGCAGUCUUGACCACCUGUCUUAGCUCCCCCUCCCUUUUUGCUGGUUCCUUUGUGGUACACCCACGGUGGUCCCCAAAGAUGCCAGGUGUGGACCUGUGACCAGGUUGGUCAGAUGGUAAGGAACCUACCAGAUGUGAUUAAGUUGAGGAUCUUGAGAUGGGGGGGGUGGUUUUCCCAGAUUAUCUGAGUGGGACCAAUGGCAUCACAAGUGUCCUUUUAAAAGGGGAAGGGGGGGGGUGGCGCUGUGCUUAGUGGGUAAAGCCACCGCCUGCAGUACCUGCAUCCCAUAUGGGUGCCAGUUCUAGUCCUGGCUGCUCCACUUCCAAUUUGGCUCUCUGCUGUGGCUUGGGAAAGCAGUAGAAGAUGGCCCAAGUCCUUGGGCCCCUGAGCCCAUAUGGGAGACCUGGAAGAAGCUCCAGGUUCCUGGCUUUGAAUCAGCCCAGCUGGAGCCGUUGAGACCAACUCGGGAGUGAACCAGCGGAUGGAAGACCCCUUUCUCUCUCUCUCUCUCUCUCUCCCUUUCUGUAACUGCCUUUCAAAUAAAUAAGUCAUAAAGAAAGAAAGCAGAAAACAGAAUCACCUGAAGAGGGCUGGCAUUUGGUGCAGCAGAGGGUUUAUGGAAGAUGCAGUUUGGGUGUUUGGCCUGGUGAUUAAGUUGCUGGUGGCAUGUCCACAUUCCCCAUCAAAGUGCCCUGGCUUCGAUGCAUGGCCCCUGCUCCUGACUGCAGCUUCCGGCCAGUGCAGACCCUGGGAGGCAACAGAAGAUGGCGCAGGUGCAUGGCCCCUGCCACCCAUGGGAGAGACCUGUAUUGUGUUCCUGGCUCCCAGCUUUGGCCCUGAGCCAGCCCCAGCCAUUGCAGGCAUGGGGGAGGGGGGUGAACCAGCAGAUGGGAGCUAUGUCUGUCUCUAUCUGUGUCAUUUUUUCUGUUUAGCAAAUAAUUAUGAAUUAACGAUAUAUAUUUUUAAAUAAAAAUAAAACACAGUCUCCCACGCCUCCACUUCUGGUGAAGCCCAGGAAGUUGCUAUUUUUAAAAGCUCUCGGAUGGAACCUGACUGCCCUUGGAGAAACAGAGCUCCAAGACGCUUCCCAAUGCAAUGACACAGAGUGCAGGGGACUGAGCCCUGAGAUGCUACAAGCCGGGAGCCCUGGGAGGAGAUGCAGCCCCUCCUGGCUCCUCCCACGCCUUCCCACCCAAGGCGGCUCAUGAGGAGCAAAGAUAGAGUCCAGAGUCCAGAGUCUGCCGGGGGCGCUCCGUGCCCCUUCUGAAGGCGGAAUGGAACCGCCUGUGAGAAGUCAGACCUUCACCUUGAAGGGAGCAAGGCGACCACAGAAGACGGCUGGACACAGCUCAGGGCCUGCUCAAUCUGCAAAAAUCCGCUCCGGUGGCUGAGGACGUGGGAGCGCCAUCUGGCAUCUCGCAGCCAGCCCCUGACGCCAAGCUGAGCAUCAGAGAGGAAAACGAAAGCAGAGAUGACAGCUCCACACCGGAUAUAGGAGACCUGGCAGCUUCCACUCCUGUGUUCCCAGGGAUGCCCUCAGGGAGAGAGAAGCCAUGUGGGAAAAAGUUUCUGGUUCCUUGCAGCCCCUGCCAGCCACCAGCUGAGAUGACCUUGGCAUCACCAGAAACCACAGACAAGGUACCGGUUCGAGUCCCAGCUGCACCACUUCCAAUGCAGCUCUCUGCUAUGGCCUGGGAAAGCAGUAGAAGAUGGCCCAAGUCCCUGGGCCCCUGCACCCACGUGGGAGACCCGGAAAAAGCUCCUGGCUCCUGGCUUCGGAUCGGCACAGCUCCAGCUGUUGCAGCCAAUUGAGGAGUGAACCAGCGGAUGGAAGACCUCUCUCUCUCUCUCUGCCUCUUCUUCUCUCUCUGUGUAACAGGAAGGAAGGAAGGAAGGAAGGAAGGAAGGA